rnacentral:rRNA from 1 species
UACGUAGGGCGCAAGCGUUGUUCGGAUUCAUUGGGCGUAAAGGGUGCGUAGGCGGCGCGGUAAGUCGGGUGUGAAAUCUCGGAGCUUAACUCCGAAACUGCAUUCGAUACUGCCGUGCUUGAGGACUGGAGAGGAGACUGGAAUUUACGGUGUAGCGGUGAAAUGCGUAGAUAUCGUAAGGAAGACCAGUGGCGAAGGCGGGUCUCUGGACAGUUACUGACGCUGAGGCACGAAGGCCAGGGGAGCAAACGGG